rnacentral:rRNA from 1 species
AUGGAGGUUCUGAUUUCAGCUGUGGUGGGUGAUCUUGUCAGCCGGUUCAUCUCUUUCCUGGCGCAAAAUUAUGGCACUCAAACAUGUGUGGAGGAGGACCGUAGAAGGCUGGAACGCAUCUUACUAAGGAUGCACAUGGUUGUUGAGGAAGCAGAGGGGCGGCAAAUCACAAAUCGAGGGAUGUUCCUGCAUCUGAAGACACUCAUCGAUGGUGUGCAUCUCGGGUACUACAUGCUUGACAGGCUCAAGUUCCAAUCCCUUGGAGAAGAGAGCGUUGAAGAUGAUGAGGUGAGUAACUGGAGCCAGUCUCUUGCCGUUUCUACUUUUAGCGCCGCCAAGCGUCUUCGUCUUGCUGUUGCUGCUUCUAUAAUGAAGAACGCACCAGUAGCAUUUGGUACUGGGAGCACGACAAAUUUGAAAAGGGUUCUUGAAAGUUUAGAGGCCAAGACUGCAGAUAUGAGAGAGUUCGUCGUGCUCCUCGGCAGCUGCCCUCGUCUUCCUCGUCAGCCAUACUGUGUGCACCUAUACAUGGAUAAGUGCAUGUUUGGUCGCCACGUUGAGAAAGAGCAACUCAUCAACUUCUUGCUAUGUGAUGACAGUCAUCACGAUUGCACACAUAUUAGCAUCCUGCCGAUCAUCGGCCCACACAGAAUCGGGAAGAAAACUCUGGUGCAGCAUGCUUGCAAGGAUGAGAGGGUGUGCAAUCAUUUCUCCCACAUGUUUUUCUUCAAAGGAGAUGAUCUACGGAACGGAGUAUUUGCAUUUAACAACCAGGCAGCCUCAGGGAAGUACUUGUUUGUUGUGGAUUUCAUCUUCGAUGUGGAUGAGGCAGCAUGGACAAACUUCCAAUCAUAUCUGCAGAAGUUGCCAGGUGCUGGGAUCAAAAUUGUAGUGACAGGCAGAGCAGAGCAAGUUGCAAACUUGGGGACUGCUCAACCGAUCAGGCUGAAGAGUCUGUCUCAAGAAGAGUACUGGUACUACUUCAAGGCACUUGCCUUCGGAAGCAUGGAUCCUGAUGAUCAUCCGAAACUGGCAUCUUUGGGCAUGCAACUAGCGGCGCUCCUACAGGGAUCAUUUCUUGGUGCAAACAUACUCGGCGAGCUACUAAGAGCUAAUCCAAGCACAGAAUUCUGGCGCGGAGUAUUAUCGAGCAUAAGAGUACUUGUUCGCGAGCACAUGUCGUCCUUCGGCACGCACCCGGAGGACCUCCUUGGUAGAAAUUUUCCUGUGAAUUUCGGCAGUGCGGCCUUGGUGGGUGGUCCGGCUCAGGGAUACCUGGUGUAUGAUCUUAGGGAGGCUGGCCCUGCUCAAAGUGAGCUGCCAAAACUGACAUCGCAAGAACUACUGACAGGCCGUGAUAUACCUGUUGAAGACAAGUUUGAGGUGCUAGUAUGGAGAUCUCGGAUCCCGCCUUACUGCGACUACGUUGUUACUUACGAAAAACAGAAGAAUCAUGUGGCAGUGAGAAAACGUCAGCGCAAAAGUUAA